CUUACCGGAGGCGACAUGGAUCCCGAUCCCACCCCUCUCCCUCGAUGGAGAACCCCUUUUUUCCGGUAAGCCUCACGUUAUUGCCUUACCGGAUGCGUAGGGCAGUAGCGUCCU
rfam:Escherichia vulneris NBRC 102420 DNA, contig: EV10242002.